rnacentral:rRNA from 1 species
AGGGUUUGAUCAUGGCUCAGGAUGAACGCUGGCGGCAUGCUUUACACAUGCAAGUUGAACGAAUUAAAGUUUUCGAAUUUUAGUUAAGUAGCGAACGGGUGAGUAAGACGUAAGAAUCUAUUUUUAGGUGAGGAAUAACUAAUGGAAACGUUAGCUAAUACCUUAUAAACUGAGAAGUGAAAAACUAAAAAUUGCCUAAAAGUGAGCUUGCGCCUGAUUAGCUUGUUGGUAAGAUAAUCGCUUACCAAAGCGACGAUCAGGUAGUUGAUUCUAAAGAGGAUAAUCAACCUACACUGGGAUCUCGAGAUAUCGGCCCAGACCUCUACCGAAGGUCAGGCAGUGAGGAAUAUUCCGCAAUGGGCGAAAGCCUGACGGAGCGAUGCCGCAUGAAGGAUGAAGGCCUAUGGGUCGUAGACUUCUUUUCUUAAUGAAGAAAUAAGACGGUAAUUAAGGAAUAAGCAUCGGCUAACUCCGUGCCAGCAGCCGCGGUAAUACGGAGGAUGCAAGCGUUAUCCGGAAUUAUUGGGCGUAAAGGGCUUGUAGGCUACUUUUUAAGUCUACUGUUAAAGAAUAAGACUUAACCUUAGAAAAGCAGUAUGAAACUAAAAGGAUAGAGUUCAGUAGGGGUAGAGGGAAUUCUCGGUGUAGUAGUGAAAUGCGUAGAUGUCGAGAGGAACACCAAUAGCGAAAGCACUCUACUAGGCUGUAACUGACGCUAAGAAACGAAAGCUAGGGGAGCCAAUGGGACUAGAUACCCCAGUAGUCCUAGCUGUAAACGAUGGAUACUAAGUAUUGGAUAAUAAAAAAUUCAGUGCUGUAGCUAACGCGUUAAGUAUCCCGCCUGGGGGAGUAUGCCCGCAAGGGUGAAACUCAAAGGAAUUGACGGGGGCCCCGCCACAAGCGGUGGGAGCAUGGUGGUUUAAUUCGAUGCAACGCGAAAAACCUUACCAGGAUUUGACAUCCCAUAUUUUUUUUCUAGAAAUAGAAAAAUUGACGUGGAGAACAAGGUGGGUGCAUGGCUGUCGUCAGCCCCUGUCGUGGAGAUGUUGGGUUAAGUCCCGUAACGAGCGCCAACACUUGUUCUUUAGUUCGAUAGUCUAAAGAAACCUGCCGAUAAUAAAUCCGAGGAAGGUGCCGAUGACGUUCAAGUCAGCAUGCCCCUUAGAUUCUGGGCGACACACGUGCUAGCAAUGGUUAAGACCAAUUGGGAAUGCAAACUUGUAAAAGGAAGCUAACCUCAAAAACUUAAUCGAAGUUCGGAUUGUCGACUGAAACUCGUCGACAUGAAGCUGGAAUCGCUAGUAAUCGCCGGUCAGCCACACGGCGGUGAAUACGUUCUCGGGCCUUGUACACACCGCCCGUCACGUUAGGGAAGCUGAUUACGCCCGAAGUCAUUAAUUUAACCCUUUGGAGAAAAAUGCCGAAGGCAGAGUGAGUAACUAGAACGAAGUCGUAACAAGGUAGCC